GUUCUGGGCCGCACGCGCGCUACACUGAUGUAUUCAACGAGUAUAUAGCCUUGGCCGACAGGCCCGGGUAAUCUUGGGAAAUUUCAUCGUGAUGGGGAUAGAUCAUGUGAAUUGUUGGUCUUCAACGAGGAAUGCCUAGUAAGCGCGAGUCAUCAGCUCGCGUUGACUACGUCCCUGCCCUUUGUACACACCGCCCGUCGCUCCUACCGAUUGAAUGGUCCGGUGAAGUGUUCGGAUCGC
rnacentral:ncRNA from 1 species